AUAACUGUGGUAAUUCUAGAGCUAAUACAUGCGAUCAAGCGCUGACCUCACGGAAGGCGNGCUUUUAUUAGGAACAGGACCAGCCCGGUGUCAUGCCGGNCUCCGCUGGUNAACUCUAGAUAACUUAGCCGAUCGCACGGUCUUGCACCGGCGAUGGUUCCUUCAAAUGUCUGCCUUAUCAACUGUCGAUGGUAGGUUAUGCGCCUACCAUNGUCGUAACGGGUNACGGAGAAUCAGGGUUCGAUUCCGGAGAGGGAGCCUGAGAAACGGCUNCCACAUCCAAGGAAGGCAGCAGGCACGCNAAUUACCCAAUCCCGACUCGGGGAGGUAGUGACGAAAAAUAACGAUCCAGGCCUCUUUACGAGNHUCUGUAAUCGGAAUGAGUACACUUUAAAUCCUUUAACGAGNACCU
rnacentral:rRNA from 1 species